CGACCCCAGGUCAGGCGGGACUACCCGCUGAAUUUAAGCAUAUCAAUAAGC
rnacentral:rRNA from 10 species